GUGUCCUCGACGGCGAGGAGGUACAGAUCGACAUUCUGGACACGGCCGGCCAGGAGGACUAUGCAGCCAUUCGCGACAACUAUUUCCGCAGCGGUGAAGGGUUCCUGUGCGUGUUUUCCAUCACCGAGGACGACAGCUUUCAGGCGACACAGGAGUUUCGAAACGACGAAAAUAUCCCGUUUCUGCUCGUCGGGAACAAGUGCGACCUGAACGACAAACGGAAGGUGCCGCUGGCCGAGUGCCAAGGCCCGUGCGCAGCAGUGGGGAGUGCCAUACGUCGAACCGUCGGCGAAGACGCGCGAAAACGUCGAUAAGAUUUUCUACGACCUGAUUCGGGACAUUUCCAAUCGCAAGAAGAAAAGCCAGGAAACGGUACAGCAACCGAAGCGGGAGAAACACCACUGUUGCCAGUUGCUAUAGAAACCGGCGUGGAGAAUCGAGGCAACUGGGAUUCAGUCCUGAAAGCAUUCUCUGUGCGCGGAUAAGUCGGAUAUUGCACCGUUGCACCUUAAUCAUCAUCAUAGCCGUAACAUACAUAUUUUUAGUUUACUCGUCGUUGUCGUGUAAGCAUUAAGGCGAAUCAAGAAACAUUGAAUUUGACGUUUAUAAUUUUACAUUGCUGUACAAAAUUUAUGGAAAAAUAUAGCUUUGCAUGCUUUAAUUUUAGUUUUCACGCAUUCGGAUCGUUUACGAAUCAGUUGAAAAAGAACAAAUCAAAUAGAUGCACAUUCAUAAACAGAGGUAUCACAACAAUUCAGCAUCAUCAACAACAAACCAAACCUUAUACUUAAGGGCAAAUGAAACGAAUAAAAUACCUGGUACAUUUUUCAAACCAUCAAGGAUAUUAUCAAAAUCAACGCUGUGUUAAAAAAAGCGUCGAUCCAGCCGAAAAGAUGGAAUAGUGUAUGGAAGGCGUUUUCUUUUGGUUCGUUUGCUAUGAAAAUGAUAUAAUGAAAAAGAAACAAUCUCUUACAAAAUAGUCACUGAAAAUCAAUAAAGACAGCAUUGAAUUGAG